rnacentral:rRNA from 1 species
GAUGAACGCUCGCUACAGGCUUAACACAUGCAAGUCGAGGGGCAGCAUGAACUUAGCUUGCUAAGUUUGAUGGCGACCGGCGCACGGGUGAGUAACACGUAUCCAACCUGCCGAUGACUCGGGGAUAGCCUUUCGAAAGAAAGAUUAAUACCCGAUGGCAUAGUUCUUCCGCAUGGUAGAACUAUUAAAGAAUUUCGGUCAUCGAUGGGGAUGCGUUCCAUUAGGUUGUUGGCGGGGUAACGGCCCACCAAGCCUUCGAUGGAUAGGGGUUCUGAGAGGAAGGUCCCCCACAUUGGAACUGAGACACGGUCCAAACUCCUACGGGAGGCAGCAGUGAGGAAUAUUGGUCAAUGGACGAGAGUCUGAACCAGCCAAGUAGCGUGAAGGAUGACUGCCCUAUGGGUUGUAAACUUCUUUUAUACGGGAAUAAAGUGAGGCACGUGUGCCUUUUUGUAUGUACCGUAUGAAUAAGAAUCGGCUAACUCCGUG